GCUGGUUGUUGCGUAGCCAAAUU
rnacentral:miRNA from 1 species